rnacentral:lncRNA from 1 species
AUAUUGUAUUUCAAUCUUUCAAAUCCAUCUAAUAGAUUAUCCUGAUCAAGAUUUUGCUGAAGUGAAAUAGACUGAUGCAUAUCUCCUACUAAUUCAAGAAGGUCAAUUCCAUCUUAACUCAUAUGCCGACUUGAUAAGUACUUGACUGCAUCCAAUAGCCUUCUGUUACUGAGUUAGAAACUCAGAUAGUCCAAUAUUAAAGUACAAUGAGUUACUUACAAGUCACUAUGGUGGUCUU